CAUGCAUGUUUCCGCAAUCAGGGACGAAUAGCUCAGUAAAACUGCGAUGAUUUAGUCUGGCUGUGUAGAUAACUACGUGAAAAUGUAGCUAAGGGAAGGCAGAAUAAGACGCAGGACUAUCAGUUAGUUGGUAGUGUAAUGGACUACCAAGACAGUGACGGUUGACGGGAAAUUAGGGUUUUGUACCGGAGAGGGAGCCUGAGAGAUUGCUCCCACGUCCAAGGACGGCAGCAGGCGCGAAAAUUGCCCACUCUUUGCAGGAGGCAGUUAUGAGACGUGAAGAUGAGUAUCUUGUAAAGAGGGAUAGGAGAAUUGGAGGGCAAGUUUGGUGCCAGCAGCCGCGGUAAUACCGACUCCAAGAGUGUGUAUGAGAGAUGCUGCAGUUAAAAAGUCCGUAGUCAUAGAAGGGCAAAGAGAGAUGCGAGGUCUCACAGUGCGAUGAUGGAGGAGCCGAUGGGGAACAUAGUAUACCAGGGCGAGAGAUGAAAUGCCAAGACCCCUGGUGGACUGAGCGAGGCGAAGGCGAUGUUCUUGUAGGCAUUCGGUGAUCAAGGACGAAGGCUGGAGUAUCGAAAGUGAUUAGAUACCGCAGUAGUUCCAGCAGUUAAAAGAUGCCGACAUGCUCAUUGGACACAGUGGGCAGGGAGAAAUCUUAGAGUUCGGGCUCUGGGGAUAGUAUGCUCGCAAGGGUGAAAAUUAAAAGAAAUUGACGGAGCUACACCACAAGGAGUGGAUUGU
rnacentral:rRNA from 1 species